rnacentral:rRNA from 1 species
AGCGGCGGACGGGUGAGUAAUGCUUAGGAAUCUGCCUAUUAGUAGGGGACAACAUUCCGAAAGGAAUGCUAAUACCGCAUACGCCCUACGGGGGAAAGCAGGGGAUCUUCGGACCUUGCGCUAAUAGAUGAGCCUAAGUCGGAUUAGCUAGUUGGUGGGGUAAAGGCCUACCAAGGCGACGAUCUGUAGCGGGUCUGAGAGGAUGAUCCGCCACACUGGGACUGAGACACGGCCCAGACUCCUACGGGAGGCAGCAGUGGGGAAUAUUGGACAAUGGGCGGAAGCCUGAUCCAGCCAUGCCGCGUGUGUGAAGAAGGCCUUUUGGUUGUAAAGCACUUUAAGCGAGGAGGAGGCUACUGGUACUAAUACUACUGGAUAGUGGACGUUACUCGCAGAAUAAGCACCGGCUAACUCUGUGCCAGCAGCCGCGGUAAUACAGAGGGUGCGAGCGUUAAUCGGAUUUACUGGGCGUAAAGCGUGCGUAGGCGGCUGAUUAAGUCGGAUGUGAAAUCCCUGAGCUUAACUUAGGAAUUGCAUUCGAUACUGGUCAGCUAGAGUAUGGGAGAGGAUGGUAGAAUUCCAGGUGUAGCGGUGAAAUGCGUAGAGAUCUGGAGGAAUACCGAUGGCGAAGGCAGCCAUCUGGCCUAAUACUGACGCUGAGGUACGAAAGCAUGGGGAGCAAACAGGAUUAGAUACCCUGGUAGUCCAUGCCGUAAACGAUGUCUACUAGCCGUUGGGGCCUUUGAGGCUUUAGUGGCGCAGCUAACGCGAUAA